UAUAGGAGGUCCAGCCUGCCCAGUGACUACUAGUUUAACGGCCGCGGUAUUCUGACCGUGCAAAGGUAGCGCAAUCACUUGUCUUUUAAAUAGAGACCUGUAUGAAUGGCCAAACGAGGGCUUAACUGUCUCCCUUUUCCAGUCAGUGAAAUUGAUUUACCCGUGCAGAAGCGGGUAUGACAAUACAAGACGAGAAGACCCUUUGGAGCUUAAGGUACAAAACUCAACCAUAUUAAAACAACUCAACAAAAAGCAAAAACCUCAUGGAAAUUGAAAUUUUACCUUCGGUUGGGGCGACCACGGAGGAGAAAAAAGCCUCCAAGUGGACCGGGACAAACCUCCUAAAACCAAGAGAGACAUCUCCAAGCCACAGAACAUCUGACCAAACAUGAUCCGGCUAACAAAACCGAUCAACGAACCAAGUUACCCUAGGGAUAACAGCGCAAUCCUCUCCCAGAGUCCAUAUCGACGAGAGGGUUUACGACCUCGAUGUUGGAUCAGGACAUCCUAAUGGUGCAGCCGCUAUUAAGGGUUCGUUUGUUCAACGAUUAAAGUCCUACGUGA
rnacentral:rRNA from 1 species